rnacentral:rRNA from 1 species
CAGCAGCCGCGGGAAUACGAAGGGUGCAAGCGUUAAUCGGAAUUACUGGGCGUAAAGCGUGCGUAGGCGGUGAGUCAAGUCUGCUGCGAAAUCCCCGGGCUCAACCUGGGAAUGGCAAUGGAUACUGGCAAGCUAGAGUGUGUCAGAGGAUGGUGGAAUUCCCGGUGUAGCGGUGAAAUGCGUAGAGAUCGGGAGGAACAUCAGUGGCGAAGGCGGCCAUCUGGGACAACACUGACGCUGAGGCACGAAAGCGUGGGGAGCAAACAGGAUUAGAUACCCCUGUAGUCCCUGUCUCUUAUAC